GACGAACGCUGGCGGCGUGCCUAAUACAUGCAAGUCGAACGAACUCUGGUUUUUGAUUGACGGUGCUUGCACCUGAUUGAUUAAACAUUUGAGUGAGUGGCGAACUGGUGAGUAACACGUAGGAAACCUGCCCAGAAGCGGGGGAUAACACCUGGAAACAGAUGCUAAUACCGCAUAACAACUUGAACCGCAUGGUUCGAGUUUGAAAGAUGGCUCUGCUAUCACUUCUGGAUGGUCCUGCGGCGUAUUAGCUAGAUGGUGAGGUAACGGCUCACCAUGGCAAUGAUACGUAGCCGACCCGAGAGGGUAAUCGGCCACAUUGGGACUGAGACACGGCCCAAACUCCUACGGGAGGCAGCAGUAGGGAAUCUUCCACGAUGGACGAAAGUCUGAUGGAGCAACGCCGCGUGAGUGAAGAAGGGUUUCGGCUCGUAAAACUCUGUUGUUAGAGAAGAACAUAUCUGAGAGUAACUGUUCAGGUAUUGACGGUAUCUAACCAGAAAGCCACGGCUAACUACGUGCCAGCAGCCGCGGUAA
rnacentral:rRNA from 1 species